UACUAUCUCGCCUCUAUCCCCAUUAUCGCAACGUAAAUACAAGAACAAAACAAAUUUUUUUUUCAACCCUUUCAACCGGACAAGUGAGGCCUGGCGUGACAAAAGUGUCUAAGCCGAAAAGUGUUGUUUAGCGGAUAAUUAGUGGUGCCGGGAACCAAAAAACAGUGUCUAAUUGUGUUGUAUAGCUAUGUCCUGUUUUGUUUUUAGGCCAGGCUGGCCAGACAGUCUAGGCCUCGGUCUAGGCUAUAAUCAUCGCAAAAAAUGCCAAAUCACCAGAAAAGGCACUGCCCACCGAACGGAACCUGGAGAUAAUUUUAUGUUUCGGGAUUUGUAGCUGACGGAAAAUUAUGCUGCGGUCAAAGGUACGGUGUCUACAUGCCUACGAUGCGCACCACGAUAAGAGGCUACAGUUUGCUACAAUACCUUGACGUACUUAUAGUGCUGCCUUAAAAUUGCAUUCUGCCUCAACUAAAAUGCUGAAAAAAGGUUCUCAAAAAAUAAAAAAAUAAAAACUUCUA